AGUCCUCCACUCACUUAAAUGUCACCAUUUACACCAUUUACUGCCGGAUCACUAGGGACUCCAGAUAGAAGGACUUAGUUCAAACAAAGGCUUAGCAUUGACAAUGGAGGUGAAAACAGUAUCCAGAUCAGAGGUCGACUGGGACUUCUACCCAUCACUAGUUGGCUGUUAAGAGGCCUUUAACACUUAGGAGACCCCUCCCUCACUCCUGGCCUGCCCUGAUUCUUUUGAACACCCAUUCUCUUCACCCAAGUUGUGCCGCAGUCUGCACUCAUAUCUGGGUGUUGGAAGACAUGGUCCUCCUCGGCAAAGUCACCUGGAUUCCUCAGGCUGAGUCAGGGCUUCUUUCACCUUCCACAACCUCCUGGGAGCAUCAUCUGCUAUGCUAGAUUACUAUAUCCCCUCCACCCACCUCAGUGUUUACAAGGCAUCUGGGAAGCUUGUAAGAUGCAGAUUCCUGGGCUCCAACCACAAAGCAUCCGACUCUGUGGGACCACAACAGGGUCCGAGACUCUGCACUGCAAUAGCUCACACCUGAAUCUGGUGGAGAGGAACAAUAAAAUAAAUGUGACUGGCCAGGUGUGGUGGCUCAUGCCACCUGUAAUUUCAGCACUUUGGGAGGGAGAGGUGGGAGUAUUGCUUGAGCCCAGAAGUUCGAGAGCAACCUGGGCCACAUAGUAAGACUCCCAUCUCUACAAAAAAAAAAAAAAAAAAAUCGAAAAACAUUAUCUGGGCAUGGUGGUGCGUACCUGUAGUCCUAGCUACUCAGGAGGCUGAGGUGGGAGGAUUGCUUAAGCCCAGAAGUUCAAGGCUGCAGUAAGCUAUGAUUAUGCCAUUGCACUCCAGCUUGGGCAACAGAGUGAGAUUCUGUCUCUAUAAAUAAAUACAUAAUAAAUAAGUGGGGCUGCUUGAGGGCAGAGACCAUGAUCCUCAUGAGCCCACAUUAACCAGUCUGUGCCUAGCACAUAGGAGGUGCUCAUACAUGAUUUCUGAAUGAAUACUUAAAUUAAUGAAUGGUUGCCAGUGUUAUGAUACACUCUUCAAAUACAGCAACUUGGGCCAGGAGUGGUGGCUCACGCCUAUAAUCCCAGCACUUUGGGAGGCCGAGGCAGGAGGAUCACUUGACGUCAGCUGCUCAAGAUCAGCCUGGCCAACAUGGUGAAACCGUGUCUCUACUAAAAAUACAAAAAUUAGCUGGGCGUGGUGGCAGGUGCCUGUAAUCCCAGCUACUCAGGGGACUGAAGCAAGAGAAUCACUUGAACCUGGGAGGCGGAGGUUGCANNNNNNNNNNN
rnacentral:lncRNA from 1 species